rnacentral:rRNA from 1 species
AUUGAACGCUGGCGGCAGGCCUAACACAUGCAAGUCGAGCGAGCGGCGGACGGGUGAGUAAUGUCUGGGAAACUGCCCGAUGGAUGGGGAUAACUACUGGAAACGGUAGCUAAUUCCGCAUACCAUCAGCUGUGCCCAGCGGGGAUUAGCUAGUAGGUGGGGUAACGGCUCACCUAGGCGACGAUCCCUAGCUGGUCUGAGAGGAUGACCAGGAACACGGGAACUGAGACACGGUCCAGAGUCCUACGGGAGGCAGCAGGGGGGAAUAUGGGGCAAUGGGCGCAAGCCUGAUGCAGCCAUGCCGCGUGGGUGAAGAGGGCCUUCGGGUUGUAAAGCACUAUCAGCGGGGAGGCGGUACCCGCAGAAGAAGCACCGGCUAACUCCGUGCCAGCCGCUGCGGUAAUUC